UUUUUUUUUUUUUGAAAAGAAUCCUCAGGUGUACAUGUAUGAUAUUUAAACUAAACUCCCUAAAGCUGAAUAUGCUUUAUCUUCAAACAGCAGAGAGGAGGGAGGUGAGUUGAAAUCUUCAAAUAUAUAUAGAUUCAUGGCUAGCUUCAACUGAACUCCUGCCCUUGUCAACUCGUUUAGAACACAAUUUUCCAAAUGCCACUGCUUUCUGGGAUUCAGGGGAGGGUAAGAGAGCUCUUUCAUUUCAUUAGAUUUGUGUCAACUCCAUUCUGAGUUUCUAGCAAUGGGGACUCUUGGAAAAAUAUGCUGAGCUCCCCUUUGGGGCUGGGCUGCUGCAAGUCUGGCACCACAAAGCACUGAAAGUAAAUAAAAUGGCUCAUAUUGUGCUCCAGGCACGAGGGAGCCCAAGAGAUAGGACAAGAAAUCCAGUGGAUGUGCCCAGACUCUACCUCCAAUUGCAUGCUGCUGUUUUCUCAACCGUCAGAGCUGUAGCCAUGGCCAAAUUGCACACUUGGAGCCAAAUCCUCCCUCUGCUCUGUGUAGGCAACUUCAUCCAAAGUCAGUAGGUGUGGAAUGCAUAUCUAAAAGUGACAUUUGGCAAUACUGGCAUUUAGUUCUCUUAUCGACCACAUACUUACUAUGCAGUAAGUGCCUUUCUACCAAUUUCUGCACAAACGUGAGCCUGUUUGCUAUUAUCAGAUGGCAGUGCUUGCUGUACAAUUUCCUCACUUUUUAAAGCUUUUUGUGUUUUGCCAGUCAGGAGCACAUUUUGCAAGUCCCUGGUAAACACAAAUGUACUUUCUCCUUGGCUUAAACACUUGUGGAAGCCAGAUGAAAGAAAUAGCUCCCAGGGAAAGCUCAGGAUCUCAUCAGCUCAUCAAUGAAGUUGAUUCUGCUUCUCCAGUCAGGUUUUGAAGGGAUUGUGUUUCCUUAAUUGAAGAAGUAGAAGUGCAGAAGAGGGUAAGUGAAGAAAAGUGCUGAAGGUUCAUCUCAUGGAGAAGUAUUUUCUGAUCCUUCUCUCAGCUCUCCUUCCUCAGGCUGAGUUGGUGGUUUCUACUUCUUGUGUGCAUCUCACAUCCUAUUGUGUAGGAGUGGAACUUAACAGGUACACAGGUCUCCCACUGUCUAGUGUGUGCUCCCUGAGGCAGGUCCAACGUAGCAUGUGUCUCCAUAUUGCUGGCAUGUAGCAAGGGGUCUGGCAGUCAGGUCAAGAAAAAUGUGUUCUCUCCCUACUCUGUGUUAGGCACUGCAUCUCUGCCCAGGAAAUAGGAGGGGGUUGCAUACUUUUACUCCUUGAGGAACUUAGAGUAUAAUCAGGACACGGAUGCUUAAGCAUAACAUUCAUGCACAAUGUGAAUCGAGGUUAUAUAGAGUAUGACCAGGGUGCCAAAGGGAAUACAGCAGAUGUGUGUGUAAUCCUGGUGGCAUAGUCCAAGAAGACCGCUGGGAGAGGACUAUGCCAGAGCUGAAUGCUGACCAUAAACAGGAAUUACAUUAAGAAUGAGCAGGACAGGGAUUUCUAGACAUGGGGAGAGUUCUCA
rnacentral:lncRNA from 1 species